GCAGUCGACGAUGAGCCGCUUCGGUGGUGGAUUAGUGGCGAACGGGUGAGUAACACGUGGGCAAUCUGCCCUGCACUCUGGGACAAGCCCUGGAAACGGGGUCUAAUACCGGAUAUGACACGGGAUCGCAUGGUCUCCGUGUGGAAAGCUCCGGCGGUGCAGGAUGAGCCCGCGGCCUAUCAGCUUGUUGGUGGGGUGAUGGCCUACCAAGGCGACGACGGGUAGCCGGCCUGAGAGGGCGACCGGCCACACUGGGACUGAGACACGGCCCAGACUCCUACGGGAGGCAGCAGUGGGGAAUAUUGCACAAUGGGCGCAAGCCUGAUGCAGCGACGCCGCGUGAGGGAUGACGGCCUUCGGGUUGUAAACCUCUUUCAGCAGGGAAGAAGCGCGAGUGACGGUACCUGCAGAAGAAGCACCGGCUAACUACGUGCCAGCAGCCGCGGUAAUACGUAGGGUGCGAGCGUUGUCCGGAAUUAUUGGGCGUAAAGAGCUCGUAGGCGGCUUGUCGCGUCGGAUGUGAAAGCCCGGGGCUUAACCCCGGGUCUGCAUUCGAUACGGGCAGGCUAGAGUUCGGCAGGGGAGAUUGGAAUUCCUGGUGUAGCGGUGAAAUGCGCAGAUAUCAGGAGGAACACCGGUGGCGAAGGCGGAUCUCUGGGCCGAUACUGACGCUGAGGAGCGAAA
rnacentral:rRNA from 1 species